UUUUUUUUUUUUUUUUUUUGUGCUGCCUUGUUAAUCUUUUCUUUAGCCAUCAACAGUCUUUUGGAUCAGUAAUCUCUUUUCUGCAUGGUGAAUUAACUCCAUGUUGUUCUCAUUACACGUAAUGGACAAGUCAGUCUCACCUUAUUGACAAAUUUGUCUGUGCAUAAGAGAAUUGAGUGCUAUGUGACUGUUUUGUGAUAAGAGGUGUAAAUCAUAGUUGGGUGUUGUGGCAGUAGCCACCUGCCUGAUGUCUUGGAAGGUGAGUCUAUUCUCCUUGUUGUGACAAAUGAGCAUCAUUUGGUAAAAAAAUCCCAACUGUCUGGAAGCUGUGAUCUAUCAGCGGGUUUUAGUGUGGAUGCAUACUGUUUAGUUACUUGCUGGGUCAUAUGGUUUCUUCAGUUUCUCCUUGAUUCUUCUCAGUCAGCUUCUCUUUAUGUCACAGGAAAACAGGCACACAUAAAUACAAAUGGUCAUCGGGAAGUAGGAAAGAAGGUAACAUAAUGUGACAGUCUUAAUUCUUGUCUAAGGAUAGCUGAGGAAAAGUGCAAGGGUUGUUACUAUUGCCAAAACUGACAGCUGAUCUAGUCAGAUGGUCUUUUCCCUCAGUAGGCACUACGUACCUUCAGAGUCAGGGUUUGUCAGAUGUCAUCCAGUGACUCAUUUUUCAGUCCUCAGGUGUGGUAAUCACUCUCUGUCCUGAGGAACAGAGACUAUAAAGUCCUUCCUCUCUCAUUCUUUUAACUGCAAAUGCAUUUGACGUCAUUCACAUAAAUUUCUUCUUUUUAGAAUCUUGCUUAGUUAUCUGAGGCUUAUUUGCCUCUCCAACAAGCUGUUUACAUGAGUCAUCUAGGAUUAUUUUUUUCCAGAAUCCCUUGGCUUGUUUUCAUUUUGUGGGUGUCUAAGAUUUGGCCUUUGAUUUCAUUGAGUACAUUACCAAGAACAACAAAAAGGGAAGGGCUCAGUGACUUUCUGUCUGGCAUAUAGUAUACUUAAAGGAAACUUCUUUCCAAUGUAUUGCCUACAACUUUCUAUCCUUCCUAUCCCUCGCUUCUUACAGCUGUGCACUCAUCUGGGCUACCUGCAAGAGACAACUAUUUGGGAGCUGUAGACUAUGUGAUAAUCUAUUUUUAUGUUCAAAGGAGAAAUGUUUCUUCUUUUUUCUCAUAGAAAAUGAAGUGUUUUGACACACUUUCUUUACCUCUUUUUCUCUAGCUGUAGUUUAUUGCCCGUAGCAGAUACAACAUUCUUAACCAGGGUAAUGUGAUAACUCCAGUGCAGAAGAAAAUCAGUUACAGUAUUUCUAAUGCUGUUUCAUCACUGUUCUUCCUUAAACACUCUCCUCUUAGUUUUUUAAGCAAUGUGUUGUCAUAAGCCAAGGCUCUAUCUGCCAAACCAAGGCCAGGACUGUGCAUUAAUGUCAUCAUGGCCAUCAUACAAAGCAUGCUAGUUUUGCCUACUGAUUUUGUUCAGCUAAGCUAUGGACCAGUUGAUUAAACAAGAGCUGGCUGAUGAUACUAUGGAUUGGCAUUGGGGUUGUAGUGGGGAUAUAGUAAACACUCAAUGAAUGGAAUUAAUCCUAGUACUGAAAGGCCUUACAGCUGCUCUAAUGAUAUACCUGAACGGUGUCAUCAGCCACACAUAAGGAUGCUCACAUGCUCAAGGCAGCUUGAACUACAUGGCAGUAACAGAAGAAAUAUGAUAGAUUGAUUAGGAUGUAUGUCUGCCCCAUGAUGUUCUGAAAUGUUCUUUUUUGUUUGUUUGUUUUUUGAAAAGAUGAGGGGAAAGAAAAUAUGAAAUGUUUCUCUUUACUGUUAUAGCAGCAUCCUGUGUGUAUCGAAAUAGAAGAAAAUGUUUGUCACAAAGCUAACACUUUUUUUUUUCUGAAGGUCUCUGUGAGCUUGAGAAAGGACGAAGUUCACUAGCUGUUACCUAUUCUUUCACUUCAGAGUGUUUCCCAGUAGCUGGAACAAAAAUGCAGUCUAUAAAGCCACUGAUAUUGUCUCUUUAUUUCGGAACUCUAAAUUCCGAAAAUCCAGAGACGUUUAAUUUGCAACAAAAAAUCUCUUUUGUUGGACUUUUAUUUAGCUUGAGUGUUUUUGCAGUCUGGAUAAAAUUUGUUAAGCGUUUUCUUACACCAAAUGCAUUUUUUGGCUUGGUCAUAUGGUUAUGUAGGCUUCAUUUUAUGGCAUUUAUUAUUUCCUUAAGUACGCAGGAUAUUUUUUGCCUCUGUGGAGACCUGAGUAAAAGCAAGGACAGAAAAGGUAGUCAGAAGUCCUCCUCCCUUCCCCUCCUGGGCAAUCCUUCCUCCUUGCAGAAAGAGGGAUGCCAAAAGGAAUCCCACACAGACCAGUGUUCUUGUGCCUCAUGUGAUUUGCUAUACAUCAAAAAUUCCUUGAUCAGAAGUAAUCUGCAAUUCCUCUAAGAGCUGGCACAUGUUGCAGAAGACAUGGAAAGUAAGGCUCUUGCAUGGCAUUGGCUCAAAAAUAACAACUUUUAUGGCAGUGCAGUAAUUACUGGCACCUUGUCAGUGGAUGUUAUUGUUGAAAAGUUUUCCUGUUAAAGUCACUUCUUCCACCAAAAUCAAUUCUUCCACGUUAGGUAUGGCAAUAUGAUAUACGAAGAUAUUUUUUGUACAGAAGAACCUAGCCAUUUUAUACAGGUUCCUGGACUCCGCCUUCUCUCGCCUCUUUGCCUCUCUUACAGGCCAUAAGACUGGUAUAUAUUAAUUUCAUCUGGUCCUGUGCUGAAUACAUUCAUGCCUGGAGAAAUGCAAAUUCUUUGCCCAUCUCAGUGUCCACACUUCGGCAAUUGGUGCUGAUAGAUGCCCACUUGCUAUCAGUGUGUAUGAAAGGUAAAGAAAAGUGGUUUUGAUGCAGGUCCAGUUCAAGGAAAUCAAGGAGUUGUUCCUAACUGGUAUAGUAAACAAGCCAUUCGCCCAUAUUUAGGGGAGGUCAGCAGCAUUGCUUCUAUACAGUGACCUCGGCAGAGGGACUGAAUUUGUUAAAGAGCUACCUUGUGCUCUUGAGUCAUGGCUCUCUGCUGCGAUAUUUCCUUACUUGUAAUAUGGGGAAAUAUUUCUCCCUUAUCAAAUCUCAGAGCAGAUUUAAAAGAUUAAGCAAGUAUUAUCUUUGAAGGAUCGUAGAUUUCAUGUAAUGUGUAGGUAGGACUGGAUGCAUAAAC
ensembl:lncRNA